rnacentral:rRNA from 1 species
UGGGGAAUAUUGGACAAUGGGCGAAAGCCUGAUCCAGCAAUGCCGCGUGAGUGAUGAAGGCCCUAGGGUUGUAAAGCUCUUUUACCCGGGAUGAUAAUGACAGUACCGGGAGAAUAAGCUCCGGCUAACUCCGUGCCAGCAGCCGCGGUAAUACGGAGGGAGCUAGCGUUGUUCGGAAUUACUGGGCGUAAAGCGCACGUAGGCGGUUUUUUAAGUCAGAGGUGAAAGCCCAGUGCUCAACACUGGAACUGCCUUUGAAACUGGAAAACUUGAAUCUUGGAGAGGUCAGUGGAAUUCCGAGUGUAGAGGUGAAAUUCGUAGAUAUUCGGAAGAACACCAGUGGCGAAGGCGACUGACUGGACAAGUAUUGACGCUGAGGUGCGAAAGCGUGGGGAGCAAACAGG